CCUACGGGAGGCAGCAGUGAGGAAUAUUGGUCAAUGGGCGGAAGCCUGAACCAGCCAAGCCGCGUGAGGGAAGAAGGUACAGCGUAUCGUAAACCUCUUUUGUCAGGGAACAAAGGCGGGGACUAGUCCCCGGAUGGGGGUUACUGAAGAAAAAGCAUCGGCUAACUCCCUGCCAGCAGCCGCGGUAAUACGGAGGAUGCGAGCGUUAUCCGGAUUUAUUGGGUUUAAAGGGUGCGCAGGCGGCCUGUUAAGUCAGCGGUAAAAGGCCGGGGCGCAACCCCGGCGAGCCGUUGAAACUGGCGGGCUGGAGUUGGCGAGAAGUACGCGGAAUGCGCGGUGUAGCGGUGAAAUGCUUAGAUAUCGCGCAGAACCCCGAUUGCGAAGGCAGCGUACCGGCUCCAAACUGACGCUGAGGCACGAAAGCGUGGGUAUCGAACAGGAUUAGAUACCCCUGUAGUC
rnacentral:rRNA from 1 species